UAUAUAUAUAUAUAUAUAUAUAUUCCUUUUUUUGAUAAGCAGCAAAAUUUUAUUGAGUAAGAAAUAAGAAGAUUAAACCUAGCAACAGAUGAACAAGCACAAGAAAAGCUGAAAAACCAAGAUCCAACCCACUAUGCCAAAUGUCACGGAGUAAGAAGUUUGCUCACCUCAAACUUGCUUCAAACCGUGCGGCCUUAGUCUUCCCCCAAGACUAAGUCAGCCUUUCCACACAACAAGUCUAUAAAGAUAGACUAAUAAGGGUGACAAAGGGUAAAAAUAGUGAGAGAGUAAGGAACAAGGAACACACUUGGAAAGAGUUUGGCAAAGGGAAAGUAACUUUACUACUCAAAGAAAAUUGAUUUACAAGCCUAAGGCUCACAAGAGAGCAAUAAAGUGGGCUAAAUACACAAAAAUACACUUGGAAGCUUUGAAAUGGCUUGAGAGCAUGUGGAGACUCUUGGUUGCCCAAAUGAAGGCCAAAAACCCCUAUUUAUAGCCUUCAUGCCGACUUGGAGUGAUUUGGGCGGCCAAAAUUCGAAAAUUGGCGGGUUGGCAAAAUUCUGGCGGGGAACCUCGUUUUGGCGGGCUGCCAGCGCGGGUGAACCUCGUUUGGGCGGGCUGGCAGCCCGCGCGCGCCCAGCGCUCCGCGCGCCCAACUCCCGCGCGCGCUGAAUCUCGUUUCGCCCGCGCGCGCGCCCGCGCUCUCCAGGCUCUUCCAGAAGCUUCGGCGAGCUGAACCUCGUUUGCCCGCGCGCGCCUGGCGUUCCCGCGCGCCAGUUUGAACCUCGCCCGCGCGUUCGGCCUCCCGCGCGCGCCCAGUCUUUCCCGCGCACGUUUGAACCUCGUUUCCGUACGCUGUCCCGCGCGCCCCGGCCUUUCCCGCGCGCCCGCUCCCGCGCGAUGAACCUCGUUUCGCGCCUUGUCUGCCCGCGCGCUGCUCCCACGCGGCCCGCACGCCCGACGGGCCCGUUGUGCGCCAGACUUGGCCCGUGAACCUCGUUUUGGGCCUCCCAUCGCCCGGCUUGGCCCAGCAAGCGCCCAGCACGCCUCCAGCACCUCUGAACCUCAUUUUGGCGUGCAGUAGGCAGACUUAACCUCAUUUUGGCCUGCUCCUCCCGGCAACUCCCCUGCUUGCCCGGUUGGCCUGUUUGCCCCGAAAAUUGACUCCCGCAAACAUUGCCUCCCAGCAAUGCACCUUCCCUUCGCCCCACAAGGAUUUACACCUACUGAACCUCCCUCGGUAGGCAACCUCGCGGAAAAAAAGUUGGACUUCUUCGGGAGACUACUUUUGUGAAGUGACAUUAUCCCCCACUCAAUCCGCACAACGCCCUCGUCGUAUGGACGUCCUCCCAUGUCUCCCCGCAUGUCCCACAUGGUUGCUUCGGGCUUGCUCUAACUAUGCUCCUGCAGUACCUCCCUCAUCCCUGUGGCUAAGUGCACCAGCUCUUCCCUCGGCUUUGCACUUUCGCCUGCUCUUCCAUGAGCGAUGUCGCCUUCGACCCUCUUGCCUCUGCGGUGACUCUUCCCUUGGGCUUCUGGUUACUGCAUUUUCCCUUGCACAACCCACCUUCUUCCUUGGUGGAUGCCCCUUUUGCAACUUCGGAGUGUGUCCCCUCUUACACUCUUUCGGAUCCUUCUUUGGAGUACCUCCUCCUUUCUCAAGUUGCUUCUUCACCCAAGUAGCUGGUGAAGGAUCUUGCAUCUCAACAUGCAUGGUUGUAAGGGUGUUGGACGACUUCCCUCGCAACAACGGCACCACACAUGUACCACCUCCCACCUCCCUCCGUGAUACACAUGCUGUUGGCGAAUAUCAUUGGGAUCGCCUUGGCUCGGUCCAUGAACUCGACCCCAAGCACGCACUGAUAAUCAUCCAUGGAGACAAUAAAGAAGUCUAAGGUACCAUGCCAGUCUCCAAUGCGUACCUUAGCAUCUCGAGCUAUACCAUGUAUCAGGUUGGGUAUGGAGUUGACUGCCUUUAACCAUCCUGUCUCCUUCUCAUAAGGGAUGCCCAACCUCUUAGCUUCCUCUACCGUCAGGAAGUUGUGGGAUGCCCCGGUGUCCAACAAUGCCCGCAGCUUUUGUCCUCCCACCUCGAUCUGGACAAAAGGUCGCCCCUUCUCAACAUUCACGGUCCCUUUCUCCUGGACCUUCAGGGCACUCAACUGCAAGGAUCCCAUGGUCGCCUCCCUGGGUUGGAAAGGUCUCUCCUCCCUUUCCUCGACCAAUGCCGAGAGCUUGCUCUUCUUUGGACACUCUCGAGCUCUAUGCGGUCCAUCACAAAGAAAGCACGAAAGAGGAGGGCGUUGCAUACCUCGGUCUUCCCUCUGACUCCUAGGAUGCACCUCCUUCGGCUGGUGGGAUUUGGAGCUUCCAUCCUUGCCUCUGCUGUCACCUCCCUCGCUCCUGUCCUUCUGUGGACUGAUUCUGCUCCUUUCACUCCUCUGGAACUCCACGAGGGAUUCAGCUAUGGAGAUGGCGGUAGCUAGAUCUCGUGCUCCACGCCUCUCAAUCUCCAUUCGGGCCCAAGUCUGCAGGCCAUCGGUAAAGGCAAAGAGAGCUUCCGCAUCUGGGUAGUCCGGGAUCUCCAACAAAGUCUCCAUAAAUUCCUUCACAUAGUCCCGAAUACUCCCCUUCUGUGACAGACGCCUCAAUCUGGCCCUUGCUUCGUGCGCGGCAUUCUCCGGGUAAAAUUGCCUCUUGAGCUCCCUCUUGAACUCAUCCCAUGAGGCAAUGGUGCAAAGCCCUUUCUCCAUGUCGCCGUGCCUCCGUCUCCACCAAACCAUCGCAGUAUCCACCAAAUACAAGGGCGCAUGGUCCACCUUCUUGGCAUCAUCCGUAAUGCCAAUCGCCCUAAAAUACUGCUCCAAGCUCCACAAGAAAUUGUCAAUCUCCUUCGCAUUCCUAGCGCCACUGUACACACUUGGCUUCGGAACCUCCACUCGCGAAGGGAUGACCAAGCUAGCCCCGGAAGUAGUGGCAACUCCCCCACGUGCCACGGCCAUAGCAACAAGAGACACUUGCUGCUCUACUUCCUUCAACUUUCCCAUGGCCUUAUCCAA
rnacentral:misc_RNA from 1 species